rnacentral:rRNA from 1 species
UACGUAGGGGGCAAGCGUUGUCCGGAUUUAUUGGGCGUAAAGAGCGUGUAGGCGGCCACACAGGUCUGCUGUGAAAACUCGAGGCUCAACCUCGAGCUGUCGGUGGAAACCGUGUGGCUAGAGUCCGGAAGAGGAGAGUGGAAUUCCUGGUGUAGCGGUGAAAUGCGCAGAUAUCAGGAGGAACACCGAUGCGAAGGCAGGUCUCUGGGCAUUAACUGACGCUGAGGAGCGAAAGCAUGGGGGAGCGAACAGG